rnacentral:rRNA from 1 species
AUGCACUUGGAGAUGGACAUUUCUGUUGCUCAAUACGUAGCUCUGUGUGGAGUUACACUUGUGAUUGGAUGGCUAGUACACUGGGUAUACAAAUGGAUUAACCCGGUUUGCAACGGUGUUCUUCCUCCUGGCUCCAUGGGAUUCCCUAUUAUUGGUGAGACCUUGGACUUCCUCAAGGCAAGCUCUUCCCUGGACAUCCCAGACUUCUACAAACAAAGGAUGAAAAGGUACGGCCCGGUAUUCAAGACAAGCUUGCUUGGGCAGCCUGCGGUUAUUUCCACCGACGCGGAGGUCAAUCGGUUUGUGUUUCAGCACGAGGAGACCUUGUUCAGUAUCGGGUACCCCUGGGCAGUGACCAAAAUAUUCGGUGAGAAGAGCAUCGAAGCCGCCCAUGGCACAAUCCACAAGUUCGUCCGUAGAUGCGCCUUUGCGCUGUUCGGCCUCCAGAAUCUCAAAGAGGUGCUCCUCCCAGAGAUGGAGGGCGCCGUGAGGGAGCGCCUUGCCGCGUGGGCGACCAAGCCGAGUGUGGACGUGCGCGGUGAUGCGCCCGACAUUCUCUUUGAGCUGGUGACGAGGAAGUGCCUUGGUUUCGAUUCUUCCACCAAGUCGGGAAAACUGAGGAACAAGUUCGAUGCGCUUUUCUCAGGGCUGUUCUCCUUCCCGAUAUAUUUCCCUGGGACAACAUUUUAUCGAUGCAUGCAGGCCAGGAAAAAUGUGCAGAAGACAGUACGGGAUACGUUGGCAGAGAGGUUAGGUACACCAGGGAAGAAACAUGGCGACCUCCUUGACGUAAUUGUCGAGGAACUGCAGGGUGAAGAGCCAUUAAUAAGUGAGGAUUUUGCUAUUGAUAUGGUCUCGAUGUUGUUGUUCUCCAGCGUCUUCACGCUAUCAGGAACAAUCGCUGUAGCAUUCAAGUCACUCCAUGACAACCCAGACGUUCUCCGGUCCCUGGAGAAGGAGAACCAAACUAUGCUCAAGGAUCGAAAGGGUGGGUGCUCCGGGCUCACCUGGGAGGAGUACAAGUCAUUGACAUUCACUAAUCAGGUGACCAAUGAGAUUAUUCGAAUAAGCAAUGCCGUAGUUGGAGUAUUUAGGAAAACUCUUACGGAUGUACAAGUCAACGGCUAUACAAUUCCAGCCGGAUGGCAGGUCAUAGUCAACCCCAUGGCAGUUCAUUUGAACGAAGAAUUGUUCGAAGAUCCACUCAAAUUUAACCCAUGGAGGUGGAUGGAUGAGUCAAAGCGCAGUGCAAUGCUGAAGAAUUUCUUGCCAUUUGGGGCAGGAAUCAGGGUUUGUCCUGCGGCAGAUUUUGUCAAGCUGUUCGUAACACUUACCCUCCAUAUUUUGGUGACGGAGUAUAGAUGGGAAGAAAUGAAAGGAACUGACGAAUUCCGAAGCGCGGAUGUUAUGUUCCCGCAGGGCUAUCACAUUCGACUUCGACCCAAGGACGAUCAAAUGAACUGA